UACCUAGUUAAGCUUGUUGAGUGUGGAGGGUCAAGGGAUGUUGCUACAGGCUGAAUAUUUUUGUUCCCUCAGAAUUCAUCUGUUGAAACCUAAUCCCCAAUGUGAUGGUAUUCACAGCUGGAGCUUGUAGGAGGUGGUUAGGUUAUGAGGGUGGAGCCCUCAGGAUUGGGAUUAGCGACCUUCAAAGGAGACAGUAGCAUGCUCCUUCCACCAUGUGAAGAAACAGUGGGAAGAUAGCCAGCCAUCUUUGAACCAGGAAGAAGGAUCUCAUCAGAUACCCAGGCUGCCAUCGCCGUUAUCUUGGACUGCCCAGCCUCUGGAACUGUGAGAACUCAAUGUUUGCUGUUUAAGUUACCCAGGCCUUGACUAUAAUGCCAUGCUCAGGAUGUAAAAGAGGCAUACUCCAAAGGGCAGCAUUUUAAGUAAAAGCAUCAAAUCAUAACCAAACGACUUCCAGAGAAAUCAGCCAAGAGACUGCAGCAAGAGUCAGAGAAAGCCUUCAAACCCCUAAGUGUUUUCAAAAAACUUCCCAAACAGCACUUUUGUGGGAGGGGCAUGCUCUAAGUGACAUUGUUUCACACCCAAUUUGUUGUGCAUAGUUUAUCCUGCCUUGCAUGCCAAUUGGAUUGCAGAAAUGCUUUGUAUGCAGCCUGGGAAAGGUAUAAAGGACGUAAGUAAUGCAGGCUUGACUGUACUAUAUGGUAAUCGGAGCUUUGCACCUCACACAGGCCUCAUCACGGAUGUCACGUUUUCUAAAAUCUUGCCCUUUAGAAUAGACCUCCUAUUCUUUUUAGAGUUGGCAUGGACAUGUACUUUAUCAUUCUCAGAUAUGAAAUAUGUGGUUUCAAAGAGCAGUAGAUUCAGAAAAAGGAGAAUUUUUAAAAAAUUCAAUUGCAAAUGGAGGACAAAUUGGUGACCUAGAAGGCUUGUGAUCAUGGUACAGGUCCUAACUAUUGAAUAUUUUUCAGUUCCCACUUGUAAUGAUGUCACCAGGAAAUUAGCAUGUUGUAUAAGUUUGUGGCAUAUUCGCAUUUAAGUUAAAUGGUAACAGGUAAUCUAUCCAGGUUUUGCCUUAACUAAAAUCACUAGGUAAGUUCUAGUACUUUUAUUGAGUCGUGUUUCAUUGCUCAUUGUAUAAAAGCACAUAAAAUUUUUGAGAGAUAGGUGUUUGCUUAUUUCGCUCAAUGCUCUUUACUGCCAUUUUCCCAGUAUCUGGUAGAAUGUUGAAUAGUGGAGAGAGUAGAAAUAUUUUCCUUGUUUUCUGUCUUUGGGUAACAGCUUUCAAUGCUUCACACUUACGUAUAAAACUACCCUUAGCUUUCUCACAGAUAGCCUUCAUCCACUCAAGGACUUUUUCUUCUAUUAUUAGUUUAAUGAGAAUUGUUUUCAUGCAUAGAUGUUGAAUUAUUUCAAAUACUUUUACUGUUUCUGUUGAAAGGAUCAUAUGGCUUUUCUGCCUUAUUCUACUCAUAUGAAAGUGAUGUUGACUGGUUUUCAAUUGAUGGACGAACCUUGUAUGGCUGGAAUAAGCCCCACCUGGUCAUGAUGUAUUAUUCUCUGCACAAAUUGCUGGAUUCAUUUGCUAUGUUGUUAAAGAUUUUGUGUAUAUGUUCAUGAGGGAUAUUGAGCUUAAAAAGAACCUGGAAUGGUGAAUCUGCUUUGAUGUUUCUAUCCAUGAAGAAUAUUUGAUGGAGUAUAAUAUUUCUGCCUUGAGAUUUUGCAGCAUCUCCCAGAUCUGUGUGGAAUUUGUUCAGAUUAAAGCUCCCGGCUGUCCUUCUUGGUCCUGCCUUGUGAGUUUCUCCUUGUGAAUGCACAGAACAAUGUGCUUCUCUUUGAUUGCGACCCUCUCCAUCCUUUCUAGAGGAAAACAUUGGCUAUUGUGGAAGAUUAGCCCUGAGCUAACUACUGCCAGUCCUCCUAUUUUUUGCUGAGGAAGCCUGGCCCUGAGCUAGCAUCCGUGCCUACCUUCCUCUACUUUAUACGUGGGACACCUACCACAGCAUGGCAUGCCAAGCGGUGCCAUGUCCUCACUUGGGAUCCGAACCUACGAACCCCAGGCCACCGAGAAGCGGAACAUGUUUAUUUGGAUUCCCAUUUUUAUUCGGGUUUCUAGUGGUUACUGUAGAAAUCCCAGCAUGCUCCUCUAAGUCUUCUGCGGCCCUGGGAAGUGGUCUGCAUCCACCUCUGAGGCUCUCCUUUCACGUGAGUGAGAAGACUGCUAUGGUUUCAAACACAGAGCUUGCCUCUGGCUGAUUAUCUCACAUGGAUUAUUUAGUUUCUAUUGCCCCGUGGACCUGAACCUCCAAACACCUCUGCCUGACUCUGAACGCAGAGAGAUCAGACCUUCAUAAAUACAAAGAGUCAUUCUCAAGAAUGUGAACAAUGACUUUAUUUGUGAAAAUGAAUAACACUGAAAUCUUAUUUAUUGAUUCAGAAGAGGACUUAAGAUAUAUCAUUCUGGACCCCUUAUAUUCAGAUCCUCAUUUAGUGAGAACUGCCAAAAUUCAUCUAAUCAGUUUUCACAGCAACAUUUAAGAAAUACAAUAUGCUUAUAACUUUACAAAGAGAGGAAUUUCAGAAAGUACAAUUUUGAAUUCCAUCAUUACUACUGCAAUCAUAUUCUCAAGGUAUGAGGCAAAAUAAUGUGGAACUGCUAGUUACAUGUAAGUAUAUUUGACAUUUUCAGCAGUCCUCCUCCAAAAGAAAAGAAAAAGAGAGAAUGAAGAAUCAGAAAAUGACGGUUUGUACCAGAAUAGAAACACUACUAUCUGAGAAAAAAAAAUGCAUCUGGUUCCACAUAGUUGAAUGAAAUUUCUUCUAUUCAAACAGCGCAGUGCUUCAAACUCCAGACCCCUCUUGUCUCUACCACCUGGCAUAAUGAUUAUUCCCGGAUAAAUCUGAAUCAGCAAAGUGUAAAAUGUGGAGACUUCGUUUUAGAACAAUGCCAUGAAAAAAUCGGAAGCAUCUUAAUAGGAAGCUUAACGUGCCAAGUAUUAUCAUGUUGAUUUCCUGACCUGAUUUUCCAUCUCUGAUAUGAAGAGUCGCUCCUUGGUUCACUGGUGCUGUGCCUGAUUCGGUCUUCCGCUGAGUCUUUGCUACCAAAAGUGAAAGUAGUUAAGAUAGUUUAAUAAGUGCCGUUAUAAUGAACCAGCGGUCUCCAAGCCCUGUGCUUUAAAAAUCCAAUAAGCUGACUUUGCACUAUUUAACUCUGUUAAUUAGAGUAAGCGCCACCUGAAGGAAAUGAGACGUGGAGGACGGAUGUAACUGUAGCUUUGUGUUUUUUCCUUCUCCCAUUUCUACCCCGACCUAUGUGAAGGGGAGAGAGGCCAUAAUUGUAAUAAGGAUCCAGGCCACUUAAUAAAUGUUUAAUUGCAUUCAGAUCUGUUCACUUAGCUUACGAGUUAUUGUCAGCCCGUUAAUGGACCGUUAAUUAAAAAGCAUAUUCAAUGAGGUGAGGAUCAUUUUCAUGUGGAAGGUUUCUACCUGCCUUUGGAGUCCUGAUGGACAGUCUCUGCUAAUUAGCAUCAUUUCACAGAAGACCAAACCUUUGUGCCAUUUAAUAAAAUAUAGCUCAUGACAGCAGCAUAACGUAUGAAGGAACGAUAGCUAGGGUUAAGGACCAAAUUUGGCAGUGUGGCUGCAAAUUAAGAAAGAAUGAAGGUACAUAAGAAAGCUUUAAAGCUAUAAGUAAAAGGGGAAGUGUGCAAGCUCUAAAAAAUUUUUUGUAUUUUUUAAUAUAUUUUAUAGAAAAUGUGUCUGUUAAUACUCGGUCAGUUUUUGCCUUUGAUUCGUAGAACAAUUCCUCUUCCUUCGCAUUCAUUUCCCAGGACACUGUAUUUUACUACAUUUGUGAUUUCAAAAAUUCAACAUAAAAGCUGCUUUCUAGAUAUUUUUUAAGUUUAUGAUAUUAAAGAAUAAUAUAUUUCAAUAAAUUUUAUAAUAUAUUUUGCAUGCCUACUAAGGGAAAGUCACUGUUUUGGGGAAUAAAUUUUAGUUUUAAUUUCUUUCGUGAAUUGUGCAGAUGCUGUUGUAGAAAUAGGACAAGGUCCUCUAUCUUGUGGUGAUUUACACUUGAUAUUUUGGAAAAUAUACUCUUCAUACAGGUGCACUAAAUUAAUAGCACAUUUAACAACUCAAUUUUUUUUUUAAAGAUUUUAUUUUUUCCUUUUUCUCCCCAAAGCC
ensembl:lncRNA